AAGUCGUAACAAGGUUUCCGUAGGUGAACCUGCGGAAGGAUCAUCAACAAAUCUAAAAAAUGGUAGUAGUAGUGUAAUGCUACUACUAUUAUAAACCAAUGUGAAUAGCGAAGAAAAAUUUAUUUUUCUUCGUAAAAAUAGAAUAUGCUUUUGUGGCAUAUUUAUAUUAUUAACGAGUUUUAAUAGAGUCUGUUUAUAAAAAAUAUAUAAAUUAUAUACAACUUUUAACAAUGGAUCUCUUGGCUCUU
rnacentral:misc_RNA from 1 species